CGGGGACACACUCCAGGGUAACACCACGGAGAAGGCUGUUGUGCCAGCUCUCAGGUGGAGACCAGGGGGUUGAACCCAGACCCUCGCAUAUUGUAACAUGUGCGCUUAACCAAGUGUGCCCUGAGAACUUGUUUUAAUGCAGCACCAAGAAAUGAACCCAGGACCCAGUAUAUGGGAGAUAAGACACAGAAGAAAAGUGAAAGCCUGAACUCUACAAGCAGCAGUGGCCCAGGGUACGUGCAGUAUCUCUUAACAGUAAGCUGGGACGGUCCACCUUCUUUAUGGUUUUGAUGCAAACACACUCCAGGGUCCUGGCUUUGUGGAACUGCUUCAGGACCCCCAAGGAACUGCUUCUUGAAGGAUCCAGUUGUUUUAUUGCCACCCGGGUUAUCACCAGGGCUCAGUGCAGGCACUACAAAUCCACCACUGCUGAUGGCCUUUUUUUUUUUUUUUAGUUUAAUAAAUAAAUAACUGGAUGGCCCAACCCCCACUUCCCCACUUCGUUUUUACUUAAUUUAUUUAUUCCCUUUUGUUGCCCUUGCUGUUUUUUAUUGUUCAAGUUUCUGGUCCCCACUUGCAGGAGGGAAGCUUCAAGAGCUGUGCAGCAGGGCUGCAGGCAUCUCUAUCACCCCUGUCCUCAAAUUCUGUCUCUAUUCAAAAUAAACAAAAAUAUAUUAAGAAGAUUAAAAAACACCAUUUUGUUACAUGAGUGUAAUCUGACUGUAUGCUUGUACGUUGUGUGUCCUCAUCAUAUGUUAUGUUUAUGGCACUUCUACCUUCAGAUGGUAUUACUCAAAAUAUAAACAUUACUCCUAGGUUCUGGCUCUCCCCUCACUGAGUGAAGCCCAUACUGACUGGAGUAUUACAUUUUUCCUUUUUUAAAAAAAAACAUUU